UACGUAGGCAGCGAGCGUUGUUCGGAGUUACUGGGCGUAAAGGGUGUGUAGGCGGUUGUUUAAGUUUGGUGUGAAAUCUCCCGGCUCAACUGGGAGGGUGCGCCGAAUACUGAAUGACUUCGAAGUGCGGGAGAGGAGAGUGGAAUUCCUGGUGUAGCGGUGAAAUGCGUAGAUAUCAGGAGGAACACCGGUGGUGUAGACGGCUCCUCGUGGACCGUAACUGACGCUGAGACACGAAAGCGUGGGUAGCAAACAGG
rnacentral:rRNA from 1 species